UACGGAGGGAGCUAGCGUUGUUCGGAAUUACUGGGCGUAAAGCGCACGUAGGCGGCUUUGUAAGUUAGAGGUGAAAGCCCGGGGCUCAACCCCGGAAUUGCCUUUAAGACUGCAUCGCUUGAAUCCAGGAGAGGUGAGUGGAAAUCCGAGUGUAGAGGUGAAAUUCGUAGAUAUUCGGAAGAACACCAGUGGCGAAGGCGGCUCACUGGACUGGUAUUGACGCUGAGGUGCGAAAGCGUGGGGAGCAAACAGG
rnacentral:rRNA from 1 species